UUUCCAACAAAAAAUAUCCAAAAAGUAAAGAGAACGUCAGAUCUUCAGGAUGAGUCCAGCCAAUGUCAACCACCAACUAGAAAAAAACGACUUGCCAACAAACCAGGAUCAUACUCAGAAGAAAUCAUACUGUCUGAUGUGAAAGACAUCAUGAGAUGUGUCCAUCAGAAAAUACCUCCCCAAGACAACAAGCUCAACAAGUUCCUGACGGAAAGAAUCAGUGAUUUGAAGACGGACAAGAGGGAGGUGGUUGGUGUCUUUGGCAAAACCGGGGCUGGAAAGAGCUCUUUGAU